rnacentral:rRNA from 1 species
AGCGAACGCUGGCGGCAGGCUUAACACAUGCAAGUCGAACGGUCCUUCGGGAUAGUGGCGGACGGGUGAGUAACACGUGGGAACGUACCCUUAGGUUCGGAACAACACAGGGAAACUUGUGCUAAUACCGGAUAAGCCCUUCGGGGGAAAGAUUUAUCGCCUUUGGAGCGGCCCGCGUCUGAUUAGCUUGAUGGUGAGGUAAUGGCUCACCAAGGCUACGAUCAGUAGCUGGUCUGAGAGGAUGGCCAGCCACACUGGGACUGAGACACGGCCCAGACUCCUACGGGAGGCAGCAGUGGGGAAUCUUGCGCAAUGGGCGAAAGCCUGACGCAGCCAUGCCGCGUGGAUGAUGAAGGUCUUAGGAUUGUAAAAUCCUUUCACCGGGGACGAUAAUGACGGUACCCGGAGAAGAAGCCCCGGCUAACUUCGUGCCAGCAGCCGCCGCGG